CAACGAAUUGAAAAAUCAAAGAAAAUAUUUCGUUAAAUUGAAAUAAAUUCAAUUUUUUAUAAACUGUAAUGAUAGCAUUCAUCGUUAUAUGAUAACAUAACGAUACGUAUUCACGUUGGAAGGUUAGAUAAAAUCACGAAUUAUCGAUAUCUAAUUGAUAAAUAUUGUUAUCAUUGGAAUUAAAAUAAAUCAAUAUUCAUAUCAUUCUAUGAGAUAAUUCGAAGUAUUAUAUGUUUCUGUUAGAUUAUUUCGUAAAGAAGAUGAUGGAAUAUUUAACUUGACUAUAUUAUUCUGUCAAAUGUCUGUCAUCGUGUCGAACAGCUUUUACCAAAAGUAUUCUCUUCUUCUUUACUCUCUCUCUCUCUCUCUCUUUUCCCUUCACCUUCUGCUAACGAUCAUCGGGUAGAUAGAAGUAGUAUAUAUCGCUCUAACGUAGACAGGCUUUGAUUUACAGGCGCGAACAAGCGAAUCUCGACAGUAAGCGAAACGAAUAGUAAGAAGAGAACGUACUCUCUUUCUCUCUCUCUCUUUCUCUCUUACUGCCUUUCUCUUCUAUGCUAUAUAAAGUCGUUCACCCCGAUUCAGACAAUCUAGUGUCUGCGCGCGGCUGCCGGCUAACCCGGGAGUGAUCCGUGAUUGUAUUAAUAUCACAACACGCCCCACACGGGGUAUGCGGUAUUGGUCUCGCUAUUCUCAAGGUCAAAGGGAACGUCGCGUGAUACACCGAAAACGUAUAUAGAGCAUCCACUGGAGUCUCGCUAAUGGAACGGAUACCGAGAGAAAGAAUCAUGAGAGAGACGAGAACUAUUCGGAUUGGAAUAAAAAGGAAGGAUGUGUCGUCGAGAGUCUACGUUUCGGUUAACAGGAAAAAGAAAAAGAAAAAGAAGAAGAAGAAGAAGAAGAAGACGAACACGAACACGAACACGAACACGAAUACAAAUACGAAUACGACGACGAAGACAAAGACAAAGACAACGACAACGACAUCGUCAGCGUCGAAAAAUCGAAGGACGUCGCGGCUCGAUAAAAGCCCAAAGACCGUACGAAGGGUUAAUUAUAAUUCGCGAAGAGAGAAGUCGGGUAGCGCGAUACUUCUGUACGAUGUGCCGAGGGAGACGAAUGACUACGAGGAAUCAUAGCGAACGUACGUAUGCGACGAGCUAACAGCUGUCGAGCCCAGGGAAACACGUACCAGAAACACGCGGUAAGAAGAUGCAGGACUAUUAUUGGACUUGAUUUAUGGAUUUGUUUAGUCAGAAUUUCAUAGUUCCGCAGGAUUGCGCCAUGAACGGCGCCGUGUUACGGCCACGGUUGGAUUAUAAAAUCCCCUAUGGAGGAACUCUGUGUUUGCCGUUCCUCCGUUAAGAUAUAUGUAUACCGGAAAGAUUUAAUGUCUUUUGGGAGUGUCGAUAUCGUGUAUAAUGUCAAAAAGAAAAAGAAAAAAAAUAAAAAAGGGAGAAAAAAAAGGAAAAGGAAAAAGAAAGAAAAAAGAAAAGAAACGAAAACUACCAUCAAUUUCUUCUAAAUACUAUCUCAUA